rnacentral:rRNA from 1 species
GACGACACAAGUUUGACCUCAAAUCAGGUAGGAAUACCCGCUGAACUUAAGCAUAUCAAUAAGCGGAGGAAAAGAAACCAACCGGGAUUGCCUUAGUAACGGCGAGUGAAGCGGCAAGAGCUCAAAUUUGAAAUCUGGUACCUUUGGUGCCCGAGUUGUAAUUUGUAGAGCAGUACUUUUGUUAUGGGCUUUGCCUAUGUUCCUUGGAACAGGACGUCAUGGAGGGUGAUAAUCCCGUAUGGCGAGGUGACCGUAGCUAUGUGAGUAUUGUUCGACGAGUCGAGUUGUUUGGGAAUGCAGCUCUAAGUGGGUGGUAUACUCCAUCUAAAGCUAAAUAUCAGCGAGAGACCGAUAGCGAACAAGUACAGUGAUGGAAAGAUGAAAAGAACUUUGAAAAGAGAGUGAAAAAGUACGUGAAAUUGUUGAAAGGGAAGGGCAUUUGAUCAGACAUGGUAGGUAGUGCCCUGUGCUCCUUGUGGGUGCGGGAAUUUCGCUGCUUACUGGGCCAGCAUGAGUUUUGGGGCCUCGACAAAGACGCUGUAAUGUAGCUUUGCACAUUGUGUUUAGUGUUAUAGACAGUGUUAAUGGGGGCACCUGGGACUGAGGUCUGCGACUUUGUCAAG